UACGGGGGGGGCAAGCGUUGUUCGGAAUUACUGGGCGUAAAGGGCUCGUAGGCGGCCAACUAAGUCGGAUGUGAAAUCCCCAGGCUUAACCUGGGAACUGCAUCCGAUACUGGAUGGCUUGAAUCCGGGAGAGGGAUGCAGAAUUCCAGGUGUAGCGGUGAAAUGCGUAGAUAUCUGGAGGAAUACCGGUGGCGAAGGCGGCAUCCUGGACCGGCAUUGACGCUGACGAGGCG
rnacentral:rRNA from 1 species